CACUCACUGUCUUAUUGUUUCUAGAAAACGAUCAUCUGGCAGUUAACAUCACUGUGAUAGUCAACUCCACAUUUUAUGUUAGUUUACAUUCAUUGCGACAAAAUUCAACAAAUUUAAACCUGUUUGAGCUAAAUUACUAAUCAAUCAAAUACAGGUACAAUUAAAGACUGAACUUACAGAUGCACUGAAUGAUGGCUAGGUACAUCAUUGUGCAAAGUAAAAGGCAGGUAGAAUUCAUCAUUGAUCCAAAGUCCAAACUGAAUGCAGGCAGCAAUGGGAUACCAUUUAAUCCUUCAUUAGAAUUUCAACUGAACACAGAUGUCAAAAGGAAUACAAGUUUUCUAAUACAAAGUACAAACAUCUCGCAACCUAAAGAAAAGUUACAUGGUAACACAAGCAGGAAGAUAAAUUAAUUAAAUUCCAUCACACACAAGCCAAUGUUUCUACAUACCAAUGAUUGUUACUUCCGACUCGUAAGAGACUAUCAUCCAGACCGGGCAUGGGAGCCAAGUCAAAAGAUUUGGCGGUCUUAAUCUUAAGAUUAUAAGAGAAGGCUUUGCCAGGUAUGUGCAUCAACAGAGCUGAACAUUCAUCUCCUUCUUUUUCUUCUUGAGUAGAAAGAGAAUCUGAACCAGAUUCCUUUGAAACCUGGGGUAAACGGUAGAUAUAGGAUCAAGGUCAACAAGGUACUUGACAAACCAGCCAGAGUAGUCAUUUCCCAUUUCCAGAACUUCAAAUUGACUGAUACAAGGGUUAUAAAUAUCAAUAAGUUGCAAAUGGCGCUUGUCAACAGACUCCCGAAAGUAUCUAUAUAUCCUCCUUCCCCAGCACUUUUCUCAGCUCAUAUAGCGAGGAUGAGGAGGUACAUGACCGAUACGCUCUUCAUCCACUUGAAAGUACAAAAGCUCACAAGUCAGGCCUACCCUGUGAAUUGCUCCAUUGAGGAAUACAGCGUCACUUAAACAGAUUCGAUCAUGUAUAGAGAAAGAAGAAUCAAGAAGCCUCCAACUUUGAGUCUCAGACGAAUAGAUGAGAAUGUGGAAGUGCUGGCAGACCAUGGUUCCAUCAAUGGUGCGUACGCAGACAACCUUGUAGUGAGGUGAUUUGGAAGGGUCAAAAGCCAAAGCAAUGCUGACGAUGUAGGGCGCCUCCACUUGUUGACCAGCAUCGUUAGUAACAGCAGUAGCCAGAGGAGGAAUGAGUUCGGCCAGAGGAGGAAUGAGUUCGGAGAACUGGUUGGUUGUGGGAUUGAGAAUAAUAUAUGGGGGGUUCAGUUUUUUUGCAUCCAAAAGAUUGCACAACAACAGGCCGUUGCAGGACUGGAUAACUUUGAUGUGCUCGUCAUAUUGGUGUUGAAAGAUAUUCAGAGGAUUGUAGGGUGAACCAAACUCAAGAUGAUCAUCCAGAGGAAUAGGGAUGAAACCACAUUUGGUGGAUCUGUAUGGAAAGACCGCGGAGAUGGGAGUGUUUGGGUUUCGAAGGGUGUGACGGUGACAGAAUGCUGGGAGACACAUUUGAAGCGGACCAAAGGUCUAGCCGGAACACGCAAAAGGAUUUUGGUAAGGAGUUCAUCAAUGUUACCUACUGUUUCUGCUAAGCUACUAGUGCAGCGUUUGGGGUAGAUACUGAGCUCAUCUGAAUUUUUAACCAGGAGAAGUUUGGCCUUUUCUAGGCUUUUAUAAGGCUACUGAACCUAUCAACCACUCCUGAUGGAAAAAGGACAAUAUUAAAUCCCAAUCAAACAGAAAAUUAAUAUAAAAAAAUAAUAUAAAAAUCUGUAUAUUAGGUUUGGUCGCCUAGUUCAUUCAUGAAUUUCUGGAACUUCAUGAAUGCUAUUUCCAACCCAAACCUGGAGUUAUAUAUGAACCCAAAGCAGGAUAUGAAUCCAAAGCAAAACAUAUCGUGCUUAAUCAUGUAGUGUUAAACACAUGAUAGCUAUCAAUAAAAUUGCAAAUUUAUUGUAGCCUUAAAUGUAAAGCUAAUAAUUGAUCAAUAAAAACAACAGGAUAACAUUUAUAAGAGCUUAAAUGUAAGUGUCAAAUGAACACAUGUAUAAUAAGACUUUUCUAAUACAAAGAUUUUACAACCAGAAGCAGAAACCACACAGCACCAGCAAGGUGAUAGUAUCACACAGAGGCCAAAGACUCCAUAUAUCGAAAAUUAGAUGGUUCAACUCGUAAGAGAUGAUUCUUUACUCCGGCCUUGGGAGUCAACUCAAAAGAUUUGUACGUCCCGCACUUAAGAUUAUAAGAUAUGAGUUUGCCUGGAGUAUGCAGCAACAGAUACGAACUUUCCUCUUCCUCAUUCUUGUCUUGAUCUAUAAAUAAAACAACAUAUCGUUCAGACGGGGUCAGCCGGCGGCAUAUAGGAUCUAGGUCAACAACGUACUUAACAAACCAGCCAGAGUAGUCUUUUCCCAUCUCCAACACUUCAAAUUUAGUGAGAGAAUGCCGAAAAAUAUCAAUAAGAUGCAAAUGGUGGCCGUCACUAGACUCCAUAAAGUAUCUAUAUUUUCUACUCUCAUUUAACCUAUCGUACAAGUGAGGAGGUAAACGAACAUAACUGUCGCGUUCUUCAUCUACGUGAAAGUAUGCUACAUCAUUAUACAUGCCUAACCAAUUAAUUGCUCCAUUCCAGUAUAGCACGCGUGAAUAGAGGAUGGAAGAUACCCUCUUGAAAGUUGAAUCGAGAAUCCUCCAACUAUGAGUCUCAGAUGAAUAUAUCGCUAUGUGAAAGAUAGUGCCGUCUAUGGAUCCAUCAAUGGUUCGAAGACAGACCACCUUGUAAUGAGGUGACUUGGAAGGGUCAAAAGCCAAAGCAAUAGAGAUGACACAAGGUUGUACUCCUUCACCAGUAGCUGGAGGAAUAAGCGUGGAGAACUGGUUGGUUGUAGGAUUGAAAAUAAAAUAUGGGGGGCCUUGCUUUGGAGAAUAAAGUAGACGACACAGGAAGAGGCCAUUGCAGGACUGGAUGAUUUUGAUGUCAGCAUGAUAUUGGUUUUGAGCAAACUUAAGAGGAUUGAAAGGGGGUGAGCUAGACGGAGAUGGGUUUUGGAUUUCAUGGUUACUGGUAUUAAUACUAGUACUACAAGCUCCACGCAAGUGAUCAAAAUCAAUAGGGAUGAAACAAAAGAUUCGGUUGGAUUUGUCACAAAAGACAGCAGAGACAGGAGGAUUUGGGUUUUGAAGGGUGUGGCGGUGACAGAAUUUUGGGUCGGAAAUAAGAGAAAGCCAAUGCUUGGAGACGCACUUGAAGCGUACUAGGGGUUUAGCUGGCACACGCACAAGGAUUUCGGUAAGGACUUGUUCUAUGCUGGCUAUUGUUUCUGCUAAGCUGCUACUGGUGCACCGUUUGGGGUAGAAUCCCUGCUCCAUCUAAAUUCGAAAUGAGGAUCAGGUAUGGCCGUUCAGCCUUGAUUAAAUAACAAUCCUGAUGAACCCUUAAUCAAAACACUCCCGAAUCCUGAUGAACAAAGGAACACAUUAAAUCCUAAUCCAAAUAGAAAAUUACUAAAAACACAAAUUUGUGCUAGGUAGCUCCUCAUUCAAAUCCUUACAGCACAGCCCUCAACUAACCCAGCUUCAAUUAAACUCAACACAACUCACUUUUUCCACAAGUCAGUGUAAAGAAUGGACAUUGAAUCAAGGUAGAUGGUCUAGUGUCUAGUACCAAUAAAUAAUGAAAAAUUGAAGGGAAAUUCAAAUCUUUUUUGGGUAACAUGUCAUGAAUCAUAGCGAAGAAGUAACCAAAUUGACUAUAGAGUACACUAUUCUUAAGUUAUUGCAGAUUGAAAAACAAACAAGCGUGUAACUCAGAGAGCAAACACAACAGCAUGGGAAUCGGUGGAAUUACGAGAAAAGCUUACUUGGGUUGUAGAUAUCAACAGAGACCGAAACACACUGGGUGGUGAGUUGAUCUUCAAUCUGUCGUUUCGAUACUAACGACACUGCCCGGAUUUCGCGGUCGGGAGUUGAAGUUGCAGCUUGCAGGUCGAAGAAUGAGUUGGAGUUUCUGUUCUCUUUUGUGGUGGUCAGACUUGGAUUCCCACCUCACUGUAAUAAGAACUAGUGUAAUGGAAGACAAUGUUUACAUCUGCAUAAUAACUUACCAGUUACUUUUGUCAUCACAAAUUGGAAAUAGAACUUGUCAGAUAUAUCAAAUUAUCAACAUUACAAAGAAUGCUAGUACGAAGGAAUUCCUCCAUUCCCUCCAGUUAAACCUAUCCUAUAUACUAUAGCAGGAAGGCAUUACAACUGUUCAUUCAGUCGUGGAAAUGAUGAUGUUGCCCCCGGUUUGCAGACAAUUGCAAAACUGCCACUCUUUCCAUGCAAUUCUGGUUUUGCCCCGAUUUGCAAACAUUGUGUGUCUCUGCUUUGACACCUGUUGGGCAUCUGUUUCUUUACCUCGCCACCUGUUGUCUUCUCUUGCACGACUGACUAAACAUUGUGUUUGGGUUCUACAUCCCUUUUCUUUUUCUGGGUUUUCUUCUUCAUCUCCUUCUCCUCUCUCUCCCCGCAAGACCCAAAGUCGUGGUUUUUUAAGCUUACCCACAUCGCUGCGUCAGCACUACUCCAAGGGCCGCACCAUAAAGGUGCAGACCAACCCGGACCAGUCNNNNNNNNNNNNNNNNNNNNGUGAUGACUUUCAUUGCAACAAAAUUGAUACCCCUAUUUGACAAAGGAAAAAAAAAAGUGAUUUGCAUCACUAAUGGAUGCAUUGUUAGCAAGAUGCAUUGUUAGCCAUAAAAAUAGAUGUGUAUGUCAUUAGUGAUGCAAGCAUGCGUGAUGACUUUCAUUGCAACAAAAUUGAUACCUAUUUGACAAAGGAAAAAAAGAAAUGUGAUUUUUGAGUAGAUGGAGUAGAUAUCAUGUGGUCCUUUUGUGUUUUCAGCUCAUCAGCAAUGCCCAUAUGUAUGUUUGUUUUAUGCCCAUAUGUAUGUUUGUUUUUUGGAUGCUAACAGGUUAGCCAAGGUUGCUUCUAAGUACAAAUGCAGUAUAGCAUUGUCUGGCAAUAGGAAGCAUUUUGUUUAGAAAACUGAUAAUACAUGUAACCUAUUUUGUUACCCUCAAUUAUUCUGAUACAUGGGAUACAAAGUUGUUGAUGGAGGGACAUGUAUUGUACUACUGCUUUUGUUUAAUACAUUAUGUAUAUUAGUAACAUUACUAUAUCUAUGUUCAGUUUUUCAUGCAUUUCAGUUUUGCUUAAUCUUUCCAUAAUAAAUGAAUUAUUAUUGGUGUCAUGUGGUAAAUAAACUCAUUCACCAUUUUCUUAAAUUGAAACUUUAAUAGUAUUGCUAGAAGAACACUAUACCUAUGUUUACAUGCAAAAAGCAUCAUUGUAGACAUUCAACAGCAAAAUUGAUCCAAACAAAAGCAUUUACGGUAGGGAACAUCCGUCGUUGCAAACCGCUGCAACGCGCGGGCAUCAUCUAGUUGGAGGUAUUUCAAGAAACCAAUUUAGACCACGUGAUAUUCAACUCCACAUUUUAUGUUAGGUUACGCUCAUUGCGACAAAAUUCAACAAAUUUUGAGAAACAUUCCUCUCCUUCGUUCCUCCAUGGAUUACAUCUAAAAUUAAUUGGCAAUGGAUGGAAUAGCCCAAACCCUUAUAAAUCACAGACAAUGUUUCAUUUUUCCUGAUAUGAGAUAUAUAUCUCAACACACCCCCGCAUGUGUGACGAAUCUUCAAGCCUAACACAUAGACAACAUUUAGGGUGACGUGGAGUUUAUGUGGCCUUUGAGCUUCACACAUGAACGUGAGUAACCCGCUCUGAUACCAUGAUAAAGUAAUCUAAAGAUCACAUCCAAAAUCAAUUGACAAUAGAUGGAGUAACACAAACCCUUAUAAACCACUAAGGUGUGAGAUAUAUAUCUCAACAGCUAGAAAACUCUCUCUCACCCAAUUUCAAAUUUUCCGGCCACUCACCGCCCUCGGUUCACCCACAAUUCCCACAUUCUCAGUCGACCCACUUUCCCGGCGAACCAUCUCUGGAAACACACCUUAUCCCUGGACUGGCCGAGGAGCUCAAGCUUUGCACCGGAGGAAGGUAAAGCAGUCGUCUUUGUCUCCACUUCGCCAUCAUCUCUUACAAAUAGGAUCUUGGGAUGAACUGUGCGGUUUGAAUGGAGCAGAAAAAUCCGUUCUUGGUUGUGAUGCCGCUCGUUUCUUGGGCCUCGGGGUAAUGGGUUGAAAUCGGGGACUGGUUUUGGCGGAGCGGCUGUGGUGGGUGGUGGUAGCUUCGUGGAUAAUCGGGAUUGCCUUUUCUUGAUUUCCGGGAAAUGUGGGAGAUUGGUAAACCCACUUUCCCGGCGACCCAUCUCCCAAAUUUCCCGGAAACCAUGAAAAGGCAAUCCCGAUUAUCCUCCUCGUCGAAGAAGACGACGAAGCUACCACCACCCAGCACGGCCGCUCCGCCAAAACCAGUCCCCUAUUUCAACCCAUUAGCCCGAGGCCCAAGAAACGAGCGGCAUCACAACCAAGAACGAAUCUUUCUGCACCAUUCAAACCGCACAGUUCAUCCCAAGAUCCUAUUUGUAAGAGAUGAUGGCGAAGUGGAGACAAAGACGACCGCUUUACCUUCCUCCGGUGCACAGCUUGAGCUCCUCGGCCAGUCCCGGGAUAAGGUGUGUUUCCUGAACCAUUCGGCCAACACGCUGGGCAUAUGGGAUUUGAAGAAACAGAGAAUGGAACAACAAGUCGCCGUUGACACAGGGGUACCGGCGGCCCAUGGAUUUGGGCAUACAAGAAACGGACACUUAAAAGUCAGGUUCAUAAUCCCACCCAUUGUUCCAACGGAUCGAGUUUACACCCUGGAGAUCUGCAGAGAGGACCCGGAGGAGAGGAAGCUUGUUUGGUUCAAAAGAGAGGUGAUCCAUCCGGUGUCUUUCCAUCUGGCGCAAGGUUUUGCGAAACUGGUGUGUGAGGGAGAGGAUCGAUUCCUGUUUUGGAAAGGGGGCUACGCAAGUGCCACACGUAUUCAGAUUAUAAAGUUUGAUUUGGAGAGAGAAUCCUUGGGGCUUGUGAGAGUCCCUCCAGAUGAUUCUUUAAGGCAUCAAAAUAUGUGUAUUGGCCAUGGAUUUCAAGGCAGGCUGGCCUUGUCUGUAUAUGUUCCUUCAUCGAAUGCAGAGCCUUUUUCGAUGCUGCGUGUGUGGACUCUUGAGAGGAAUGAUGGAGGAAAUAACAUCUUUUGGCAUAGGCUGCUCACCCUUCCUAUGGAGGCCUCCAAUGUGCUUGAGCCCUUUGUUCCUUUAUCCUUCUUCUAUGGAAGAGGUGAUUCAGGAGUGAACUUUCUGUUCCACAGGAAUAACAAUGAGGUCUUUCACAUUGUUCUGAGAGGUGACGAGGUUGUGAGCGCUCCGAUUACUAUACCAGCCUUCACCUACCGUCAAGGACCUUUUGUUGGUAGGCAGUUCCAAGCCACUCGCCUCCGUCCCAAAAUAUCCUUCAUUCUGGAGCCUUCACUGCCCAAAGUUGAGGAGGACAAGCCGAUGAGAUGGGAUCCCAGUCUCAGUUUUGCAGAUGACACUGAGUAAAAGAAGGUAGAUUUCCCUUAAGCUAUUCCUUUGGGGCAAAUUUAAUGUGUGUUAUUAAAUGCUGGCUAUCGAAUAGGGUCUGAUUUUGCUUAUUUUGCACCCUAGAAAACGCAUUUAGCUUUGGUCGAAAUGAUUUGAAAAGAUUUGUUUGUAUAUAGUCCCAAGUCAGUUGAAUGUUUGAAUAUGGUAUGGUGGGAUGUGUGACUUUUUCAUGUGCUAGUGUUAAAAACUCAAUUGGAUGCUGAUGGCAGGUUUUACUAUGUCUAGCUCCUCCUUUGAUUCAAUCAUUCACAGUACAUAUAUUUAGAUAACUGCAUACAUGUAGCAUGUUGCCUUACUAGAUUUGAAGUGUUGGAGAUGGGGAGAAACUACUCUGGAUGGUUUGUGAAGUACCAUGUUGGUCUUGAUCUUUAUAUGCUUUAUAAUUGUGCAUAUCUUCUGGGCUUCUAACUCGUAUUACUGAGCUGCAUCUAGCCAUAUAUACUGCAAUGAGCAGUAGAGAGGUGACCUUGUCAUGUUUAUCUUCAAUUGGAGAUAUAGCCAUGUAGUUCAGUUUAUGAGCUUCAGUGUGUUGUGUUGUGUUACAAGUUAUUUGAUAAGAUCUGUUCUUACAGUCACAAGUCACGUUUUUGUACUAAAUGAUUUGUGUUGUGGUAAGACCUCUGUGUAUUGAUCAUAGUAGUUUGCUUUGUGUCUGCAGGAUGAAUACUCAAACUGUACAGGACGAUUUAGGAAGGGAGGUAGUUGUGUUGAUGAAGACCAGCGCUUUGUGUCUGCAGGACAAAUAUACAAACCGUACAGGGAGACUUAGGAGGGGAGGUAGCUGUGUUGAUGAAUACUAGCGCUUUGAGUCUGCAGGAAGAAUAUACAGACCGUACAGGGAGAUUUAGGAGGGGAGGUAGCUGUGUUGAUGAAGACUAGUGUUUUGUUCCUUAAAAGGAUGAAAAAACGUUUCCUCUGCAACUAUGUUACAGUGAAUCAUAGAGAUAUUGGAUUUAAGCUUUUCAAUGUUUGUUGCUAUAUGUUAAUAGUGAAUCUGUUGGAUAAAUCUGGUAGCUUUACAUAUGCUGUUCUGUUUCUUGGUUAAAACAAAAGGAUGAAUCGUAUAGUUCAUCUUCGUUGCUGCAUUCUCCUGGUAAAGUGUUGAGUUUACUGAUCAGCAUUUACUAAUUGAUCAGCAGGAUAAGCUGAUGAUGAAGACUAAUGUUUUGUUCCUUAAAAGGAUGAAAAAAAUGUUUCCUUUGCAACUAUGUUACAGUGAAUCAUAGAGAUAUUGGAUUUAAGCUUUUCAAUGUUUGUUGCUAUAUGUUAAUAGUGAAUCUGUUGGAUAAAUCUGGUAGCUUUAAUCAUAUGCUGUUCUGUUUCUUGGUUAAAACAAAAUGAUGAAUCGUAUAGUUCAUCUUCGUUGCUGCAUUCUCCUGGUAAAGUGUUGAGUGUACUGAUCAGCAUUUACUAAUUGAUCAGUAGGAUAAGCUGAUGAACCUACAUAGUUCCAGCACCAGGAUAAGCUGAAUCUCUUUGGUUUGUAGAUGGCAAGCCACAUUACACGAGGGUGCUGAAGAUAUUAACAUGUUCAUUAGAUGUGUGAUAAAAGAAAAUCAGAAUAUCAAUUUAUCUCACAUUUGGAAGCUAGAAGGGUCUUCAAUAUCAUAAGCAUCUGGCUCAAUGGUAGGCUUUACCUUCUUGAACUUGAUCCAGAAGCAUCCAAGACACAAGACCAAUCUAUCAAGAGACUGAAUCAGGAACAGAACAAUGCAGAAUUUAGAGAGGAAGAUAGCCACUGGUGCAAUAUAUUCAACUCUGAAAGACAACCAAGCCAUAUAGGACCAAUGCACCAGACCCUGCACCUCCCAAGGUUGAUGAACUAGAUUCAAGUUCCAGUUCUUGUAAUGAGCAAUAACCUCAACUCCCAAAGCCACAAUUGACAACAUAAGAAAAGCCUUGAUGAAUGUAUACAACUUUCCUCGAUUUCUCGGCUCCUCAUCGCUCAUAUCCGAUAGAGCAAUGCGAUUCCUGAAUGCCAUUGGAAGCCAUGAAAGACAAGCAUAGAUUCUGUUGACUUUGAGAAGAAGAACCCAUGUAAACUGCUUGGGGCUCGCUGCUUUCUGCUUCUCAAAGAACACAGAGGAAUCCAAAGACUUGGCCUUUGAUAAAGAGUUGUCUGGCUUCUGGAUUGUGACUGUUUGGAGCCAGAACCAACAAAGGAAGAAGCAAAAUGAUGAACAGGCCGGAGGGGACUAUAUGCUUUGUAAGGAAAGAAGCCAUGAACAUAAAUCUGGGAUCUCUUGGAAGACAAGGAAGAUUAUAUAUACAACUAACCAAUCCUAAUCCUAACUCUGAUGCAUGAUAUGAUAUGAUUGUGAAAGAAAAACCAUGUAAGCCACGUUGACAUUUGACUUUUCACUCGCAGCAGUAUAACAUGGGGACGACAAAUGCAGGACUUCAACGUAGCCUUGAGUUUUGAUUAGCUUGAUUGCUCAUAUAUAAACCUCCAAGAUAGACCCGUACAUUUUUCUUUUAUAUAUUUCAAACGACACAAGGUAUGUAGCUAGCUAAUUACAUAUUCAUAUAUGUUCAAAAUCCCAGUACAAUAAUAAUUGAAUCAAUAGCAAUGGGUACGUCAUGGUUUUUAAUCAGUGGUUUCCAUGUGAGCUAAAACAAGUGCAGGCUCUCUCUGGUGAAAUAUACAGAUCCAUGACAGUUUCACAACCCAGCAAGCUGAAGUUAAACUGUUAAAACGGUUAUUAUUUACCAAUCAUGUGGGUAUUUAUGCAUGGUAGAUUAUGAUUUAGCUAUGGAAAAUUGGAAAGAGAUACAGUAGCAAAGGAUUAAGAUCACCAUGUUAAGCUUGGUAGCCACACCAGCAGUCCAGCACUACAAGUUCCAUGUGAGUUUGAUUAGUUAUACCCUGGACUUCCACUCUUGGCUCAGUGUAUUUGUUUGGUUUAGUCCAUUGCCUUGUACUACCUGGUUUCUGAAUACACAAAAUUAAUGAAAUCUUUACUUGCUUUCAUUUUUAUUGGUCCUGCUUUCUAUAUCAUGUCUAGCACUUGAAUGUGAUUUCACGUCGAAUCCAUAACGAUCAAUUUGGUAGUUGGUUUGAUGAUAGCGACCGAAACCGGGCGUUUCAAUUAAAAACUCUUUUGUGUCAAUUGUAGUAUAUAGCAAAUAAGGGUAUCGUUAUAAAAGUCGAGGAUUGAGGGUACCUUUACAAUUACGUUAAUUACAAAACAAGAGAAAAACAAAAUAUUAUAGUACUAGAGAUAUGAGGUUUUGUGAUUAUGAACAAAAGAAAACAAAGAAACAAAAUAAAUCAGAAAAUAUUAGAUGGAUGAGACGUUAGAGAUUUGGAAAUCCACCACCAAGUAUGUUUCAAGACAUGUUAACAACCAAAGCUUCGAUCAUUAAGUCACAAAUCGGUAUCAAUCAAGAACAAACCGUGAACGCACUGCGUAAGUCCUUAUUACUUCCCUUGAAUGCUUAAGCAAGAUAAACGCACCAUUACUAAGCAUUUAGAAUAAUCGAUCAAGGUAUAGACGCUAUCCUAUCAACAAAUUAUUCUAAGCAUUAAGAUCAAUGGAAGUGAUUGAACAAGUAUGCAAAACUAGUGUGGAACGCCUACCUAGUAUGCAAUCCUUUUUAUUUGGUUUCACCUAUUGUCCUAUAGGUUUCACUACUUUGAAACAGGCUUUUUAACCGUUUAGGAGAUUAAUCAACUUGUUUCUAGCCCCACUCACAAGUUCAUAAUGUUCUAUGUUGCGCAUACAUAAACAUAAACAAGCAAGAGUUCUCUAUAAAUCAAAACCAAAUAAACAAUUUGAAAGACUCAAUAAUUUGAAACCAAGGUUCAAAAUAAUAUCUAAAACAUUCUUGGGGCUUCAAACCUUGCCCCUAACUAAGAGAAUUCAGCCACACAUGGCUGCAAAAUCACACAAGGAGAAUAAAAGAUGACAAAGGAAAGAUAAACCGUGGAUGAUGAAAAGAUCAAUGAUAGCUUGACGGCUUCCUUGUGCGAGUCCGCAACUAUAGAGGUUCUAAUGAUGUGAGAUCGCUGAACAUUGUCAAGAAAAUAGAUGAUGAUUUAUUCAAUAAGCACUCAGAAAGAAUAACACAAUAAAGCUCAAAUCUUACCAGGGUAAUUAUGAAUCAAAACUCAUCAUCAACAUGCUCAAAAUUCUGUACCAAUGUCAACAACAAAAAAAACACAUCUACUACACACUCAUAUGCUUAGUAUAUAUCAUAAUUAACCAAAGAAUUAAUUUAAUAUCAUCUCAAUCAUGUUAUACUCUUUUAGCCAUAAUUUUAGAGAUAUAUACUCAUCCUAGACAGUUGAAAGACAUGAUAACUCACAGAAAAACAAACACAGUUUAAUUUUUUUUCAAAUUUUCGACUCUAACAAAAACAAAAUAAAACACAAAAUGUGUGCAUUCCCUUAUUACUUCCCCUAACUAAGAGAAUUUAGCCACACAUGGUUGCAAAAUCACACAAGGAGAAUAAAAUAUGACAAAGGAAAGAUAAACCAUGGAUGAUGAAGAGAUCAAUGAUGGCUUGGCGGCUUCCUUAUGCGAGUCCGCAACUAUGGAGGUUCUGAUGAUAUGAGAUCGUUGGCCUCCUCUAAUCUCUUCGUCCCCUCUUUUCUGCUGUGAUUAGGGUUAUAAAACCCUCAAAACUCGUCUAUGGGCUUGCCAAUGUGGUCUAGGCCUCAAAAUAGAAGUUUUGGUCCAAAUCAGAAAUUCGGGCAGACUGACCUCCGACCACUCAAACGGUCAUAACUUCUUCUGCAAAAUAGAUAUUGACGAUCCGUAAAAAGUUCUGGAAAGUAGACUCUUGUAGCUUUCCAUUGAUAUAUGGCACAUCUCCUGGAUUGCUGUGAGCUGAUCACAAUCUUCUGUUGAAGUUGACUGACAAUUUCUGGCAGAUUUUCUGAUUUCUUUCCUUUCAUGACAUGAAUUCAUUUUCCUUCAAGAUUUCUCCUCUUUUGUCUCUUUUGGGCUCCUUGGCUUUAUUUAUGACCUAAAAACACAAACUUAGUUAAUAUGAAUGUUAAGGGAAUUACAUAGCUAAAUAGGGUCGGAAAUACAUUAUAAACGUAGCACUUUGUGCUCCUAUCAUUUGUUGAAUACUGUGAUCCAGAAACUUGUGAGACGGCUGAAAAAUAUGCUUAGUACAUGUAACAUGGGAUGCAAGGGUGGAGGUUUUGUUGCGUUUAUAUCACGAGCCAAUAGAGUAUGGAGGAUACCCUCUUGAAAGAAGAAACGAGAAUCCUCCAACUUUGAUAUAUCACUAUGUGAUAGAUGGUGCCGCCUUUGGAUCCAUCAAUGGUCCGAAGACAGACCACCUUGUAAUGAGGUGAUUUGGAAGGGUCAAAAGCCAAAGCAAUAGAGAUGACACAAGGUUGUAUCCUUCACCAGUAGCUGGAGGAAUAAGUGUGGAGAACUGGCAGCGCUCAUUGUCUCAUUGUUUCCGGAAAGCAAUCAUCUGGCCGAUAACAUCACUGUGAUAUUCAACUCCACAUUUUAUGUUGGUUUACAUUCAUUGCGACAAAAUUCAACAAAUUUAUACCUGUUUGAGCUAAAUUACUAAUCAAUCAAAUACAGGUACAAUUAAAGGCUGAACAUAUAGAUGCACUGAAUGAUAGCUAGGUACAUCUGUCAGAAAUUGUGCAAAGUAAAACGCAGGAAACCUAACAAUAAAACUGAUAGUUAACCACAAACAGGUAGAUGGGGUAGAAUUCAUCAUUGAUCCAAAUUCCAAACUGAAAGCAGGCAGCAAUGGGAUACCAUUUAAUCCCUCAUGAAAUUUCAACUGAACACAGAUGUGAAAAGGAAUACAAGUUUUCUAAUACUAAGUACAAACAUCUCGCAACCAAAAGAAAAGUUACAAGGUAACACAAGAAGGAAGAUAAAUUAAUUAAAUUCCAUCACACACAAGCCAAUGUUUCUACAUACCAAUGAUUGUUACUUCCGACUCGUAAGAGACUAUCAUCCAGACCGGGCAUGGGAGCCAAGUCAAAAGAUUUGGCGGUCUUAAUCUUAAGAUUAUAAGAGAAGGCUUUGCCAGGUAUGUGCAUCAACAGAGCUGAACAUUCAUCUCCUUCUUUUUCUUCUUGAGUAGAAAGAGAAUCUGAACCAGAUUCCUUUGAAACCUGGGGUAAACGGUAGAUAUAGGAUCAAGGUCAACAAGGUACUUGACAAACCAGCCAGAGUAGUCAUUUCCCAUUUCCAGAACUUCAAAUUGACUGAUACAAGGGUUAUAAAUAUCAAUAAGUUGCAAAUGGCGCUUGUCAACAGACUCCCGAAAGUAUCUAUAUAUCCUCCUUCCCCAGCACUUUUCUCAGCUCAUAUAGCGAGGAUGAGGAGGUACAUGACCGAUACGCUCUUCAUCCACUUGAAAGUACAAAAGCUCACAAGUCAGGCCUACCCUGUGAAUUGCUCCAUUGAGGAAUACAGCGUCAUUGAAACAGCAGAUUCGAUCAUUUAUAGAGAAAGAAGAAUCAAGAAGCCUCCAACUUUGAGUCUCAGACAAAUAGAUAAGAAUGUGUAAGUGACGACCGUCUAUGGCUCCAUCAAUGGUGCGUAAGGAGACGGCCUUGUAGUGAGGUGAUUUGGAAGGGUUGAAAGCCAAGGCAAUGCUGAUGUAGGGCUCUAGUUGUUAGCUGGAGGAAUGAGUUCGGAGAACUGGUUGGUUGUGGGAUUGAAAAUAAUAUAUGGGGGGUUCAAUUCUGCAUCCAAAAGAUUGCACAAGAAGAUGCCGUUGCAGGACUGGAUAACUUUGAUGUGAUCGUCAUAUUGGUGUUGAAAGAUAUUCAGAGGAUUGAAGGGUGAACCAAACUCAAGAUGACCAUCCAGAGGAAUAGGGAUGAAACCACAUUUGGUGGAUCUGUAAGGAAAGACUGCGUAGAUGGGAGUGUUUGGGUUUCGGAGGGUGUGACGGUGACAGAAUUUGGGGUCGGAGAUAAGAGAGAGCCAAUGCUGGGAGACACAUUUGAAACGGACCAGAGGUCUAGCCGGAACACGCAAAAGGAUUUCGGUAAGGAGUUCAUCACUGUUACCUACUGUUUCUGCUAAGCUACUGGUGCAGCGUUUCGGGUAGAUACUGAGCUCCAUCUGAAUUUUUAACCAGGAGAAGUUUGGCCUUUUCUAGGCUUUUAUAAGGCUACUGAACCUAUCAACCACUCCUGAUGGAAAAAGGACAAUAUUAAAUCCCAAUCAAACAGAAAAUUAAUGUAAAAAAAUCAAAAAAAUCUGUAUAUUAGGUUUGGUCGCCUAGUUCAUUCAUGAAUUUCUGGAACUUCAUGAAUGCUAUUUCCAACCCAAACCUGGAGUUACAUACAGCAGGAUAUAAAUCCAAAGCAAAACAUAUUGUGCUUAAUCAUGUAGUGUUAAACAUAUGAUAGCUAUCAAUAAAAUUGCAAAUUUAUUGUAGCCUUAAAUGUAAAGCUAAUAAUUAAUCAAUAAAAACAACAGAAUAACAUUUAUAAGAACUUAAAUGUAAGUGUCAAAUGAACACAUGUAUAAUAAGACUUUUCUAAUACAAAGAUUUUACAACCAGAAGCAGAAACCACACAGCACCAGCAAGGUGACAGUAUCACACAAAGGCCAAAGACUCCAUAUAUCGAAAAUUAGAUGGUUCAACUCGUAAGAGAUGAUUCUUUACUCCGGCCUUGGGAGUUAACUCAAAAGAUUUGUAAGUCCCGCACUUAAGAUUAUAAGAUAUGAGUUUGCCUGGGGUAUGCAGCAACAGAUACGAACUUUCCUCUUCCUCAUUCUUGUCUUGAUCUAUAAAUAAAACAACAUAUCGUUCAGACGGGGUCAGCCUGCGGCAUAUAGGAUCUAGGUCAACAACGUACUUAACAAACCAGCCAGAGUAGUCUUUUCCCAUCUCCAACACUUCAAAUUUAGUAAGAGAAUGCCGAAAAAUAUCAAUAAGAUGCAAAUGGUGGCCGUCACUAGACUCCAGAAAGUAUCUAUAUUUUCUACUCUCAUUUAACCUAUCAUACAAGUGAGGAGGUAAACGAACAAAACCGUCGCGCUCUUCAUCUACGUGAAAGUACGCUACA
rnacentral:lncRNA from 1 species